AAACUCAAAGGAAUUGACGGGGGCCCGCACAAGCGGUGGAGCAUGUGGUAAUUCGAGGCAACGCGAAGAACCUUACCUGGGCUUGACAUGCAGGUGCUGCAUGGCUGUCGUCAGCUCGUGUCGUGAGAUGUUGGGUUAAGUCCCGCAACGAGCGCAACCCUCACUCCCAGUUGCGACUCCGGGGGGACUGCCGGUGUCAAACCGGAGGACGGUGGGGACGACGUCAAGUCAUCAUGGCCCUUACGUCCAGGGCUACACACGUGCUACAAUGGCCGGUACAGAGCGUCGCAAUCCCGCGAGGGGGAGCUAAUCGCAAAAAGCCGGUCUAAGUUCGGAUUGCAGUCUGCAACUCGACUGCAUGAAGCCGGAAUCGCUAGUAAUCGCGGAUCAGCACGCCGCGGUGAAUACGUUCCCGGGCCUUGUACACACCGCCCGU
rnacentral:rRNA from 1 species